rnacentral:lncRNA from 1 species
AUAUAAUCGCUUUUUUAAAAAUAUAUAUAUAUAUUCUAACCAAUGACAUGGCCGAGGUAAAUCACAUGAUCAUUUCUGUGAGAGGAUUGACCAAUGAGAAGCAGCGGUGGCUUUUUGAAUGGUGAAAGGCCGGAUCAGUAGCUAACAUUAGAGAGGGAAACUCGCAACAAACUUGAAAAAGGUCCAUCGACCACAUCAGAAGCAGGACAAUAUUCUAGAAACAACAGUUAUUUUGUGAUAUUUCUAGAUUCUCGUUAGGAAAUCACCAGUACAAUCAUUUGGAACAAGCCACGUGGAUAAAGGUUGGCAUCAUGUCUCAGAAGCAGAUAUAUUACUCUGACAAAUACGAUGACGAGAAAUUCGAGUAUAGGCACGUGAUGCUGCCCAAGGACAUUGCCAAGCGUGUGCCCAAGACCCAUCUGAUGUCAGAGACUGAGUGGAGGAACCUUGGCGUCCAGCAGAGUCAAGGCUGGAUACACUACAUGAUCCAUCAACCAGAGCCCCACAUCUUGCUGUUCCGUCGUCCACUGCCUGCAGCCUGAUCUCUCGGACAGAGGGUGAGAGAGAACCCAUAGGGAAGAUGAUAAGAGAGUGGCUGGAGAUGGUUGAACACAACUCAGUUGGAUGGAUAAAGACUAUUUUGUAAAUACUGCAUCGUAUACACUGCAGUUGAGCCAGAGUCGAGCUCCAACCCACUGCCUCACUCACUGUAAAGCCUUUCAUAUUUCCUCUGGACCUGCUUGGAACCCUUUCAUAUUUUUCUCUAUAUGUACUAGCUUGAUAAUGUUGUCAAUGUGUGCAUCUGGGAAGAAAAGGAACAUCUGUGGAGGUAGCAACACAUUUUCAUUAUUCUAAACUUUAACCCACUAUACCUGCUGUGAGUUGACUAACAUAUCUAAUUUUAAGGCAGAUAGUAAGAUGGUAAAUGUUAAAAUGUAGGGGGCAGCAUUUUGGCAGCACAAAUGUGCAGGGAUGUUACCGAAAUUACUGAUCAUAUACCUGUUAUGGCACUUGAUUCAAAACUUAUUUUGAAUACCGCAGAUUGCAUCAAGUGUAUGCACUCUUACACUGUACAAAUGAUAGCCCUCUGGAUAUUGUAAAAAAAAUAUAAUUUUUUAUUUUUUUUUUUAAUUUUUUACAAAUCGUGUCGUGCUGCAGUUAUACUGUAGACUGUCUGCAGGUUUUAGAGCUGUCAAAAUGGGACCCAAUAUCUUCGUUGCCAUAUCUAUGAUUGUACAAAUCAGCUGCUCAGUUUAUGAAUUCUUGUACACCAGAAAUGUUUUUAUUUGAAAUUCUUCAGAUUGUGAUGUAGUUCUGCACUUUUAAACCUUUACAUUUUGCCGUUUUGCUUAUAGUGGUGUUAAAAGUGGGUUUGUAGAUGGAUAGAUUACAUGUCAAAAGUUUGUACACCUAUUCAUUCAAGGGUUUUGAUUUAUUUGAACUAUUUUAUACAUUGUAGAAUAAUAGUGAAGACAACUAUGGAAUCAUGUAGUGCUCAAAGUGUUAAACAAAUCAAAAUAUAUUUUAGAUUCUUCAAAGUAGCCACCCUUUGCCUGGACAGCUUUGCACACUCUUGGCAUUCUUUCAACCAGCUUCACCUGGAAUGCUUUUCCAACAGUCUUGGAGGAGUUACCACAUAUGCUGAGCACUUGUUGGCUGCUUUUCCUCCACUCUGCGGUCCAACUCAUCCCAAACCAUCUCAAUUGGGUUGAGGUCGAGUGAUUGUGGAGGCCAGGUCAUCUGAUGCAGCACUCCAUCACUCCUUUUUGUUCAGAUAGCCCUUACACAGCUUGGAGGUGUGUUAGGUCAUUGUCCUGUUGAAAAACAAAUGAUAAUACCACUAAGCGGAAACCAGAUGGGAUGGCAUAUCACUGCAGAAUGGUGUGGUAGCCAUGCUGGUUAGGUGUGCCUUGAAUUCUAAAGAAAUCACUGACUGUCACCAGCAAAGCACCAUCACACCACCUCCAUGCUUCACAGUGGGAACCACACAUGCGGAGAUCUGUUCACCUACUCUGCGUCUCACAAAGACACUGCGGUUGGAACCAAAAAUCUCCAAUUUGGACUCAUCAGACCAAAGGACAGAUUUCCACUGGUCUAAUGUCCAUUGCUUGUGUUUCUUAGCCCAAGCAAGUCUCUUCUUCCUAUUGGUGUCUUUUUAGUAGUUGUUUCUUUGCAGCCAUGAAGGCCUGAUUCACGCAGUCUCCUCUGAACAGUUGAUUUUGAGAUGUCUAUUUCUUGAACACCAUAAAGCAUUUAUUUGGGCUGCAAUUUCUGAGGUUGGUAACUCUAAUGAACUUAUCCUCUGCACAGAGGUAACUCUGGGUCUUCCUUUCCUGUGGCGGUCCUCUUGGGAGUCAGUUUCAUCAUAGUACUUGAUGGUUCUUGGGAUGGCACUUGAAGAAACUGACAAGUUCUUAAUUUUCCGAAUUGAUUUACCUUCAUGUCUUAAAGUAAUGAUGGAUUGUCAUUUUCUGUUUGCUUAUUUUAGCUGUCUUGCCAUAAUAUGGACUUGGUCUUUUGUCAAAUAGGGCUAUCUUCUGUAUACCACCCCUUGUCACAACACAACUGAUUGGCUCAAACACAUUAAGGAAAUGAACUUUUAUCAAGGAACACCAGUUAAUUGAAAUGAAUUCCAGGUGACUACCUCAGGAAGCUGGUUGAGAGAAUGCCAAGAAUGUGCAAAGCUGUCAAGGCAAAGGAUGGCUACUUUGAAGAAUCUCAUAUUUUGAUUUGUUUAACACUUUUUGAUUACUGGUAUGUUAUUUCAUAGUAUUGAUUUCUUCACUAUUAGUCUACAAUGUAAAAAAUAAAAACCCUUGAAAGAGGUGUGUCCAAACUUUUGACUGUUACUGUGUACAGUAUGUACAGUGCCAUUUCGGAAAGUGUUCAGACUCCUUAACUUUUUCUACAUUUUUAUUUAAUCAAUCUAUACACAACACCCCAUAAUGUCGAAGCCAAAACAGUUUCUUAGAACUGUUUGCUAAUUUAUAAAAAAUAAAAAAUUUAAAUACCGUAUUCACACAAGUAUUCAGACCCUUUUCUAUGAGACAUGAAAUUGAGCUCCUGUGCAUCCUGUUUCCAUUGAUCAUCCUUUUGAUGUUUCUACAACUUGAUUGGAGUCCAUCUGUGGUAAAUUCAAUUGAUUGGACAUGAUUUGGAAAGGCACAAAACUGUCUAUAUGAGGUCCCAUCAUUGACAGUGCAUGUCAGAGCAAAAACCAAGCCGUGAGGUUGACAGAAUUGUCCUUAGAGCUCCGAGACAGGAUUGUUUCAAGGCACAGAUCUGGGGGAAGGGUACCAAAAAAUGUCUGCGGCAUUGAUGGUCCCUAAGAACACAGUGGCCUCCAUCAUUCUUAAAUGGAAUAGGUUUGGAACCACCAAACUCUUCCUGGAGCUGGCCGCCCGGCCAAACUGAGCAAUCGGGGAAGAAGGGCCUUGGUCAGGGAGGUGACCAGGAACCCGAUGGUCACUCUGACCGAGCUCUAGAGUUCCUCUGUGGAGAUGGGAGAACCUUCCAGAAGGACAACCAUCUCUGAAGCACUCCACCAAUCAGGCCUUUAUGGUAGAGUGGCCAGACAGAAGCCACUCCUCAGUAAAAGGCACAUGACACCCCGCUUGGAGUUUCCCAAAAGGCACCUAAUGAUUCUGACCAUAAGAAUCAAGAUUCUCUGGUCUGAUGAAACCAAGAUUGAAGUCUUUGGCGUGAAUGCCAAGUGUCACGUCUGGAGGAAACGUGGCACUAUCUGUACAGUGGAGCAUGGUGACAGCGGACACCCUAGUUUAACUCCUCUUGACAAUUCAAAACUCUGAUAAGUAGCCGUUAUUUACUAUUUUACACCUGGGGUUGCUAUACAUUAUUUUUACCCAUUUUAUAAGAGAAUUACUGAAAUUGAAAAAAUCCAGGCAUUUAUAAAUAAAAUCCAGUCUUUAUCAAAUGCCUUUUCAAAAUCUGCUAUAAAUACCAUUCCUGGCUUCUUAUAUGUUUCAUGAUUUUCUAUUAGUUGUCGUAUAUUAUCUCCAAUGUAUCGUCCAUGUAAAAAACCUGUCUGAUCAGGAUGAACAAUACCUGGUAAAACCCUUUUAAUUCUGAGAGCUAUGCAUUUUGCUAGUAUUUUUGCAUCCAACAUUGAAGUGUAAGGGGCCUCCAGUUUUUUAGAUAGACUGCGUCUUUAUAUUUGCCAUCUGAGUCUUGUUUUAAUAAUAGGGAAAUCAGACCUUCCUGCCGAGUACCUGACAUACUACCAUUUCUAUAGCAGUAGUUAAAACAAUCUAACAAUGGAGCUUUUAGUAUAUCAAAAAAUACUUGAUAUACCUCUGGUAUGCCAUCAAGCCCUGGGGUUUUUCCAGACUGAAAGGAUUUAAUAGCCUCAAAAAGUUCUUCCACUGUGAUUUGGCCUUCGCACUGAUCUUUCUGUACAUUUGUUAAUUUUCAAUUUUUUUAAUAUUAUUUGGAAAGAAUUCCUUACCAUAAUCUUCAUACAGUGGGAAAGGAUAAGACGGAAAAAAAGAACAUCUGCCUAAAAUAAUUAGCUUCCUCUUUUAAAAUAUCAUUCAGAGAAUCAUAGAUGACUCCGUCUUCAGUAACGAGUUUCUGCAAAUGAUUUUUGUUAGCGUUCCUGUAUUGGUGAUUCAGGAAGAACUUUGUGCAUUUUUUUCCAUAUUCCAUCCAGGUUGCUUUAUUUUUGUAAUAGAUUACAUUAGAUCGUUCUUGAAUAAGUUUCUCAAGUUUUUUUGGUUUUUCUUCUUACUUAUACUUACUCUGUAGUAUCAUUUUUAUUGCUAUCUACCUGUACUAUUAGUUGAUGGAUAUCCCUUGUUAGUCUUGUCUCUUUAGCCAGAAACUGCUUUUUUAUUAUUGAUGAAUAUUGAAUUGAAUGACCCCUG